CAGAGCUACGGAGGCCGGGCGGCUCUCACCACGGUUGAAGAGGAAACCGAGGGAUAGUCGGAAGGUAGCCUUCAAAAUGGAGUCUCUCUGCAAAGAGUCUAAGGUGAUGAUGCCUCCUGGUCCUGUGGUAAUCAAGCCUCAGCGGAAACACAAGAAGAAGACCCCACUCCGUGAAGACUGAAGCAGGGUUGGAGUGCAGCUAAGCCCAUGGGAGAGACGCAUCAAGAGGACCUGAUUCUACCACAAGCUUGGAUUGCUGGAUAUGCAUGGUUGUGUGUGUCUACACAUGUACUCACACCUUGAAAAAACUACUUGUAUAUUUUGUGCCCUUGGUUUCAUGCUGUGUGUAUUAGAACUUUAUAAUAAAAUACUUUUCAUUAUG